rnacentral:rRNA from 1 species
AGUGGCGAACGGGUGAGUAAAGUAUCGGAACGUGCCCAGUCGUGGGGGAUAACGUAGCGAAAGUUACGCUAAUACCGCAUACGAUCUAUGGAUGAAAGCGGGGGAUCGCAAGACCUCGCGCGAUUGGAGCGGCCGAUAUCAGAUUAGGUAGUUGGUGGGGUAAAGGCUCACCAAGCCGACGAUCUGUAGCUGGUCUGAGAGGACGACCAGCCACACUGGGACUGAGACACGGCCCAGACUCCUACGGGAGGCAGCAGUGGGGAAUUUUGGACAAUGGGCGCAAGCCUGAUCCAGCCAUGCCGCGUGCAGGAUGAAGGCCUUCGGGUUGUAAACUGCUUUUGUACGGAACGAAAAGGUUUGGCCUAAUAAGCUGAGCUCAUGACGGUACCGUAAGAAUAAGCACCGGCUAACUACGUGCCAGCAGCCGCGGUAAUACGUAGGGUGCGAGCGUUAAUCGGAAUUACUGGGCGUAAAGCGUGCGCAGGCGGUUAUGUAAGACAGAUGUGAAAUCCCCGGGCUCAACCUGGGAACUGCAUUAGUGACUGCAUAGCUGGAGUACGGCAGAGGGGGGAUGGAAUUCCGCGUGUAGCAGUGAAAUGCGUAGAUAUGCGGAGGAACACCGAUGGCGAAGGCAAUCCCCUGGGCCUGUACUGACGCUCAUGCACGAAAGCGUGG